AUGCUCCUAUGUUGUGUUAAGUGUUGGCAGAUAUCUGGACCCCGCCCUAGCGGUCCGGAACUUGGACCCCGAACUUCCCUCCCCAUACGAAGUCCGGGGUUUUUUUUGCCCGCAG
rnacentral:sRNA from 2 species